rnacentral:tRNA from 1 species
AGUAUCCAGGGAUGGGAAUCGAACCCACAGUGUUCUGCUUACCGGGCAGAUGCCAUGUUCACUAGGCUAAUUUUGAUUUUUC